rnacentral:tRNA from 10 species
CCCUUCCUAGCUCAACGGUAGAGCGCUUGGCUGUAGACCGAGAUGUUCCCGGUUCAAAUCUGGGGGAAGGGA